rnacentral:rRNA from 1 species
ACUCAAAGGAAUAGACGGGGGCCCGCACAAGCGGUGGAGCAUGUGGUUUAAUUCGAUGCAACUCGAAAAACCUUACCUACCCUUGACAUCCUUAGAAUCCGACUGAGAGGUUGGAGUGCCGAAAGGAGCUAAGUGACAGGUGCUGCAUGGCUGUCGUCAGCUCGUGUCGUGAGAUGUUGGGUUAAGUCCUCUAACGAGCGCAACCCUUGUCCCUUGUUGCUACAGGUAAUGCUGAGAACUCUAGGGAGACUGCCGGUGAUAAGCCGGAGGAAGGUGAGGACGACGUCAAGUCAUCAUGGCCUUUAUGGGUAGGGCAACACACGUGCUACAAUGGGAUACACAAUGAGUCGCCAACUCGCGAGAGUGAGCUAAUCUCCCAAAGUAUCUCGUAGUCCGGAUUGGAGUCUGCAACUCGACUCCAUGAAGUUGGAAUCGCUAGUAAUCGCAAAUCAGCACGUUGCGGUGAAUACGUUCUCGGGCCUUGUACACACCGCCCGU